GCCAUGUCAAAUCAGUUUUCAUUAUAUGCAUUCAAUUCUAUUUUAUUUUUGUUUGUAAAAAAUGUUGGUAUUUAUUAAAUUUUGACUAGCACAUUCUUGUAUGGGGUGUAGUAUGAGUAGUAAAGCACAUGGCAACAAGCAACAGGUCUAGAGUUCCAAUCCUGGUGAAAAUUAGGAUUUGAAGAUCAGGAUUUUUUAAGAUGCCCCUGAAUAUACCAAACUCUAAUGGGUACUUGACUUUUGCUGGGGAAGUAAAGACAGUUGGUCUUUGUGCUGGCAACAUGACUCAUUAACCAAUGGCCAUAGACAUCAUCUGUGUCCAAAAUAUGCAAGAUCCGAAAUGGGUACCUUUACUUUUUACUUCUUUAUGUAAUACUUUCAGGGUGCCGGAAUGAUCAGAGAAUUUUUCGAAAUGGCUAUAGCAAAAAAAGCUUGUCUUUGAUGAAGUAGAUGCUGUAGGAAGUUUGGACUGCAGUUUUCUUGACCUCGCUGUUGGCUUUGUGUUGUGUGUGAACUACGUCACCAGAGUGUGUUUGGAUGACGUCAGCCAAUACGAACGGCCUGACGCUUUGUUUGUUCCUGGAUACAUUAGCUCAUUUCCCAUUGGUCUAUUACAUGACUGGAAGUAUUUGGAGUGUGGAUGAUCUCCUAGUGGCUAAAAUCACUCAAGACAGUUACCCUGGUUGUCAAAAGAAAUCCUGAUUCUAAUUACAAAGGGGAAGAGUUUCUAGAGGAUUCCUCCACCAUUGUUGCCAUUCAGAAAAUUGUUAGGCUGUUCCCAAGUGUGACUGUAUUGACAGAGUUGACUCAGGCGUCUUACAUAAAGUUCAUGGACAUCUCAGGGCUGACUUGGCUUCUAAAAAUCUGGUCAUUUACAAAUGUGUACUUGGUUUUUAAAUAGAACUGUUAUAUAAAAGAGGACUUUUGUUGAGUAUAAGCUUAAAUUUGCAUUGAGAAAGUAGAAUGAGAACUUUUAUUGAGAGCUUAGAUUGAAAACUUAGAUUGAGAUGAGAAAGAACUUAUCAGCUGUUUGUACUUUGGUAUCCUCAUCAAAAUGAUCCCAAGUUUAGCUCUGCUUUCUGCCAUCCCUUGCAGGUCAUCUGUUUCUGUUGCCCACAGUUAACAAGGUGGUCAUGUGGCCAGCACAUUGACCAAUGUCCCUUAUCCCCAAUUAAUGUAAGGUACCCAUUUGAGCUAGGUGGACUAAGAGGUGUCCUAAAGAUAAUGAAAGUAAAUAUCCCAGUCUUCAUCAGGAUUUGAACCUAAACUCCCCACUUUGCCUCUGUUGUUGAAUUGUAAUAAGUUGAUUGAGUUUCUCAUUUUAUAGAUUGCAGUGAAUAAGACAGACAGUGUUAAAAAUGUUAAUGCUCAAUAAAAACAAAUUUGUCACUUCAAGUUAAUAUUUGCCUACAUGUAAUUAAAGUGUAUAGGAUAUACAGUGAACAUUAUAUAGUUAGGUAAGAAGUGAGGAGAAUGUUGUUGAAUUUGAGUUAUUUCAAUGUAUAAAUUCUUUUUUUCAGAGGCACAAAUCCACAUCUGGGUCACAUUUGGGUGAAAUUUUCUGCUUACCAUUUGCUGCAGGUCAUUUUUUUUCAUCCAGCAUGUUGGACAACUCUGUUAUAUCAGACAUUCACCAAGAGUUAACUCAUUUCUUUUAUUUGACUUUUGCUGGGCAUUAAUGGAGAACAAGGUUCUGGACAUUUGUCAAGUUGAAGAAAGCUACUGUCAGGAAGUACCAGAUGUAUGGUCACCUGUACGAAGACUUAUGUCGACAGGUAGGCAAGUACCAUUUGCUAUCUACAGAACCCAGUCAGUGGACAACCUUAAGGUACAUGCUUCAAGUUCUUCUGGACAUAAAGCUGACCACAACACUUAAACACCGGUCUGAAGGCUACUCCAUGAUGGGCAGCCUAUGUCAUCACCAAGCCAGCAUCUAACUGUUAACUCCUUGUUGGGGACAUUGUCUCUGUCCUUCAACCAGCAUCAAUGUGUGUGACUCCCAAGUGGUCUCUCCAGUGUGUACAAGCAUUGGAGCAGAAAACAAGGUGACAAGAUGGAGAAGGGUCAGUCCACUCCUAAAAGAAGCACACUAUAAUGAAUACACAGGUGUUUGUGUACAACUUGUUGAAUUUUUCACUCACAUCUACUUUAGUCUCUUGAUGGGUAGCAAAGACAUAAGCCUUUAACUGACUGAGCCAAGGCUUAGGCCCUGAAUAGUUACAUGUAGUCUGGGCGUCAUCAUCAAGUUCAAGGUUAAAAUAUGGACAGCUUUCAGUAAACUCUCACCAGAGGUCAUUUCUGGCUGGAGAGAUUUUUUAUAGAGUAAAAGUGAAGACUGUGUGUGGAAGUUUGCCAGAGGCAAGCUUUGGAUUUCUUUCAUAGAGCAAAGGACAACACUCUCAAUACCUUUUGAUAUCAUUCCAACACCUAUAGCUGUGGUGAGACUAUUUCGAGGUCUCAGGAAUGUAUUUCUUAUCAAUUGGUAAUCAUGCAUCACGUGCCCUCAGAUAUGUACAAAAAAUGAAGUUUGAGAAGAAAGAGAAAGGAUCAAGAUGAUUUACAAGACACUAAAGUUAUCUAUCAACUAUACUCAAUGUAUGAAUGACUUGCAGCCAGACUAGAAUUAUAGAGAAAGAUGUUUUUCUGCUGGCUAAACAUGUAUGGAUUGUUUUGAGUUUUGCAAGUGCUGCUGUUGUCUAGGCAAUUCUGGCCAGUAGUUCCGGUUUUGGUUUCUUCAUCUGAGACAAAAACUCCAAGGGUCUGUUCCAUCACAUCCAGUCAAUAAAGGAAUAAUAUCUAUGAUGUCAGACAACAAUAAAGAUCCAUUUCUGUAGAAGAAGAUCUCACUACCAUGAACACUCUAGGGCUAGGGAGACAUGAACUACAUGAAGACAAUUUUGGGAUGGAGGAAACCACACAGAGACUUCAAUGGGGAACAAAAGUCAAAUGGAGUGUGUUCAAAGGACAUGAUGCCAGUAAAAUGAGAAAAUAGAGUGGAAGAGAGUCCAGAGUUUGUUUUGCUCCCGAUUCAAUAGAGAACAAAGUUAAGAUUAGCAAUGGAGAUAAAAGGAAUCUCUAAAACAAUAAUUCUUAUCAAAAUCCAACAAUCUCUAUUCAAACUAUUAAUCUAAGCAGUAACAUGACAACUAAUUGAACCAAAGUGUUAUAGUCUGAACCAAAGAGUGAAGCUCACGUGAGGACAGUUUUCAACACUAGAGUUACAGUACUAGUCCUCGGUGGAAUCAAGGAGUCAUUAAAGAAUCAUUCUGGAAGAUCAAAUCAAUACAAGCACUGAACAGCAGACAGGAAUGGAAAAUAUGGCCAACAGAUCAUUUGUGGUGCCCCAAUGGUCCAACAACUUAGGGCUAGGUGAAUGUGAUAAUACAUAAUAGAUAAUGAUGCAGAGUAUUUCCUGGUGAUCAAGAAUUAGGAGCUGCACACAGUUUAAUGAAACCAUAUUUUAGGAACAGAUAGAAAACAAAGAACUGCAGCAAAGAUGGCCUGUUUUUAUUCUUCUUCAUG